UCUGUGUUUUGAGCAGUGUGUAGAUGGAGAAACAGCAAGUAUUGUAAUGUUCCAUUGCAUGGAGCCGGAAGCAGAAGACGUUCUUUCACCGGAGCCUCAGCGUCGCUCCAUCUGCUCCAACUGCGACCGCCCCACGCGCGUCUGUCUCUGCCACGCGCUUCCUUUUCCUCCGAUUCAAACCGCCACUCGUAUCCUCAUCGUGCAACACCCUCACGAGGCUCGCCACAAGCUCUCCACCACCCCAAUCCUCAACAAGUCCCUCCUCCGCGCCUCCUCCGUCACCUCCCGCCGCCUCCGUCGCGGCCUCUCCCCAAUCCUCGACCGCUCUCCCCCCGCCCUCUACCUCUUCCCCUCCUCCGCCUCCUCCACAACCCCCGCCCUCCACAUCUCCGCCGUGCGCCCCUCCGCCGACCUCGUCCUCAUUGCCUUCGACGCCACGUGGCAGCACGCUCGCGAGAUGGUUCGGGCCAGCGAGAAUUUCCUCUCCGAGUUCGCCACUAGGGUUUGUCUGGACGUGGAUGAGAGUAUUGGCGGCGGAAGCAUUUAUGACUCCGAAUUGAUUUUGCGGAAGGAGCCUUUCGCCGGGUGCGUUAGCACAAUGGAGGCUGUGGCUCGGGCCUUGCGCGUGCUCGAGCCCAAUGGGCCCGAGAUUGAAGAGAAGCUGGUUGGGGUUUUGAGGGAGAUGGUGAGGUUGCAGGCUGGUUUCUUGAAGCCCGUGAAGCCCAGGCCGAAGUUGUUGAAGAAAAAGUCCGAGGGAAAGGAAAAGAAGGAGGGUUCUGUUCAAGUGAUAAGCUAAUGAAAUGAAGAGGAAUCUGGAUUCACGGGCUGUGCCUACUAAUGUUGCAGUUCGUGUCAUUUUGAGGUUAAGACAUGAGAGGGGACUGCAGACCAUUUUUGACAUGCGACUUCCUCAGAUGAGCUGAUAAUUGAUAUUUAAAGCUCGGUUUCCAUGAAAGCUCCAGAAUAGCCCAACAAACUACAGAAGAAUUCAAAUAUGCGCAUUGGGGUCAUCAGAGGAUGACUGGAUCUUUAGUUCCAGAGACAUUACCAUUCUUGGAAUUAGCCGCCAAAAUAUGGUAAUGGACUAAAAAUUGCCAGAGCCACCCAUUCCUAACACAUUUGACCCGUUCCCUUUUAGUGAAAAGUUGGAUCAUUACUGACAUGAUCUUGGGUUGAGUUGGAUAUGGUUUGCAGAAAACCAUCAUUGCGUGGGUUUGAACGUGGCAUACGAAAUGGGUUGAGUUGGAUUCACUUAGAUGAGUUACCAAGGUGCGUGUAUGGCUUAGGCUCAGGAAGUGAUGUGUGUUGAAUGAUGUCUUUGUUCUGGGUUUUUAUAAUGGUUGUAGAGCAACCAGCAUCUUACACCGUAGUCCUAACCGGGAAGGGAAGUAUAAUCUAAAUCAACAUCUGAAGGAAAGGAAUAAUGAAUACUUGAUACUAGUCGAAAAGGAGAUGCAGGUGCUUGUUUUGUGUCUCCAUUUUCCAAGUUUUGUAAAUAUUCAAAUCCCAAAGAUUUAGCAGCAAAGUCUAGAAUGUGAUUACCAUGCUAUACUUUUCCCAAGGAGAGGACUAAUUCGAGA